CUGACGUCCCGAGCAGUGCUGGGAAGUAUAGGCUGUGUUGUCACGCCGGUGUCAGUCUGAUGAAGAUUGGCAUCAGGUGAAGUCUGGAGCAGGACUCUAAGGCUUUCUGUCCUCCAUGCCGCUUACCAGAAGAGGGACUGUGAACUGUGCGUUGGCUCUAGCUGACAGGAAGAAUUUCUGGUCCAGCUGGAAGUGAGACGAGGGGAGUGAGUCUCCUGAGGGCCAUCCACGAGGCCACCAGGAUCACCGAACAAUCCUCGAUGUGAAUCAACCCCAUGAUGCAACAUGCCUCCCCUGCCCCAGCUCUGACGAUGAUGGCCACGCAGAAUGUCCCUCCCCCACCCUACCAGGACAGUCCAC